rnacentral:rRNA from 1 species
UGGGGAAUAUUGCACAAUGGGCGCAAGCCUGAUGCAGCCAUGCCGCGUGUAUGAAGAAGGCCUUCGGGUUGUAAAGUACUUUCAGCGGGGAGGAAGGGAGUAAAGUUAAUACCUUUGCUCAUUGACGUUACCCGCAGAAGAAGCACCGGCUAACUCCGUGCCAGCAGCCGCGGUAAUACGGAGGGUGCAAGCGUUACUCGGAAUUACUGGGCGUAAAGCGCACGCAGGCGGUUUGUUAAGUCAGAUGUGAAAUCCCCGGGCUCAACCUGGGAACUGCAUCUGAUACUGGAAAGCUUGAGUCUCGUAGAGGGGGGUAGAAUUCCAGGUGUAGCGGUGAAAUGCGUAGAGAUCUGGAGGAAGACCGGUGGCGAAGGCGGCCCCCUGGACGAAGACUGACGCUCAGGUGCGAAAGCGUGGGGAGCAAACAGG